AACGAACGCUGGCGGCAUGCCUAACACAUGCAAGUCGAACGAGACCUUCGGGUCUAGUGGCGCACGGGUGCGUAACGCGUGGGAACCUGCCCUUAGGUUCGGAAUAACUCCCCGAAAGGGGUGCUAAUACCGGAUAAUGUCUUCGGACCAAAGAUUUAUCGCCUUUGGAUGGGCCGGCGUUGGAUUAGCUAGUUGGUAGGGUAAAAGCCUACCAAGGCGACGAUCCAUAGCUGGUCUGAGAGGAUGAUCAGCCACACUGGGACUGAGACACGGCCCAGACUCCUACGGGAGGCAGCAGUGGGGAAUAUUGGAAAAUGGGCGAAAGCCUGAACCAGCAAUGCCGCGUGAGUGAUGAAGGCCUUAGGGUUGUAAAGCUCUUUUACCCGGGAUGAUAAUGACAGUACCGGGAGAAUAAGCUCCGGCUAACUCCGUG
rnacentral:rRNA from 1 species